rnacentral:sRNA from 1 species
ACAGCAUGCGCUCUUGUGUAUCUUGACGGCUUGAGUGCAAACACGGCUGCCUCUCGGGUUCAUAAUCGGCGUUCAGCAAAUCCUGCAGAGUGCAGGCAUGCAACGAUUUUCAAAUGUGAUCUGUGGGAGUCAUCAUUAUCAUCAUCAUCGAUUGUGUACUAUGUACUAUACUUCCAAAGUUCCAGACGGACUGCUUGAGCUGACUUGCAUCAAUGUUUCGAAGGAUGCACAGCACCUUUGCAAUUGACGCUCGUGAACAGUCCACGCACGGAUCACGAAUAAUCGUCCUUUCCGGUCGGAGAAAUCUUUUAAGCUUUACGCGGUUAUCCAACUCAAGUCGUCGAAAUUGGGAUGAAAGGAGAUGGCGCCUGUGAGCUGCUGGUUACUUUCGCGUGGUAAUUUCAGAUGGUUUUCGCUCUUGUGCUGGAGACCCACGUCGCGAAGUAACUCGGACCAAGGAUAUUAGUGCCUCCACCAUACCAAAUACUCAAGCCCAGCAGGCAGGUUCAGGAAGCCGAAAGCACGGCGGAAACAGGUUUCGGAGCUUAAGCGUCGAACAGAAUAACUUUGGCGGUUGCAGAUCCCAAGAUCAACGAAAAAUGAAUGUUUUCUAAUUUCUUCGCCAUUGUUAAUUCGCGCUUCGCAUCAUCCCGUCUCCCAAAUUCAAUGUAUACCAGAGCGAAUCACAAAUGAGCAUUGAAGUUCGGAGUGCUUUUCAAGAUGUCAGCCUAAUGGGGGUCGGUACUUGGAAAAGAAUGUCCAUCGCAGCCAAAUAUUGGAUUCAGAGCGAUGGGGGUUGGUGAGGUGCAGGUUCUCGGAACAGCUUCACACCUCGGGCAGGCCGGCUUGCACCUACUAGCGCCUUUAGCCAAUCAUCCCCACACAGCGGCUGUCUCCUUUGAGAUUACCAUUUAGAAGAUGGCCAGUCAAACCUAUCGGUGCAUCAACAGGCCUCCUAUGGAUCAGCCCAACAAACCCUGUGUUACCCACUUCUCAGAACGGGUUUUAGUUGACUUCCACUCUCUUGGCCUAAAACAAGUGCCGGGUACCUACAGCUACGAGGGUACUAUGUAGGUUCUGAUUAUUGGAAGCCUCUAUGAACGGGAAUCGUCUCCAAUCGCUAUUACUCUUGUCUCUACCGGUCGUGUAUAUUCUUGGACAAGACAGAGACGGGGCCGAAGAUAUAGCAUGGGGUAGGGUAGUUGCAGCAUCUACGCACAAACCCACUUCAAUAAUUUGGUCCUCGGAUCUUGGUGAGGCUUGAGGGUUAUAUAUCCCUACCAUACUUUUUUCUUUUUCUUUUUUUCUUUUUCAGCUUUGACCUACCUCAUGAGGUCAUUAACAUUCCUAGAACAAUUCUCGAUGAGAUUUUAAUUGAUACUCCCUGUUUUAGCCACAAGAUCGUGUAAUAAAACGGGCCCAUUGUUGCUCAAUACAAGCUGUGAAACUCACCACCAUCCCUCCUUGAAUCCACCGGAUGUCGAUUUCGGAAUCAGGCCCAAACCGCUAAGCA